CUUGGAGUCUGAGGAGAGACAGGAGGGGCCUGGACCGCGACAGAUUCUGGAAGUCCAGCCUUCUGUGUUGGGUUCACACCCAGAAUUGCCUCCCCACUUGAAGCAAAUGCAAAUUCAGCUGGAGGCAGAGGUGGGGGCUGAAAACAACUAUCUACUGCAGCAGCAGCAGCAACGCUACGUGGAACAGCCUCCAGCUGUGGAUAACCAGCAACAACAAUACGCACAUAAGUACAGCUCUAGAGGACAUUGAUUUAUUGGACAGGCAGCUGGAGGCUGUUCACCAGCAGAUGCAGGAACAACCUCCAGCAAAUAAUGAGAUGCCCAAGCAGUAUACCUG